rnacentral:rRNA from 1 species
ACAGAGAGAGCGGCGCACGGGUGCGGAACACGUGUGCAACCUGCCUUUAUCUGGGGGAUAGCCUUUCGAAAGGAAGAUUAAUACCCCAUAAUAUAUUGAGUGGCAUCACUUAAUAUUGAAAACUCCGGUGGAUAGAGAUGGGCACGCGCAAGAUUAGAUAGUUGGUGAGGUAACGGCUCACCAAGUCAAUGAUCUUUAGGGGGCCUGAGAGGGUGAUCCCCCACACUGGUACUGAGACACGGACCAG